rnacentral:rRNA from 1 species
UAAACGACUCUCGGCAACGGAUAUCUCGGCUCUCGCAUCGAUGAAGAACGUAGCGAAAUGCGAUACUUAGUGUGAAUUGCAGAAUCCCGUGAACCAUCGAGUCUUUGAACGCAAGUUGCGCCCGAAGCCGUUAGGCCGAGGGCACGUCUGCCUGGGCGUCACAC